rnacentral:misc_RNA from 1 species
GUGCGCGCGUGCAUGUGUAUACGAUUCACACGCCUCUGUGUGUGUGUGUGUGUGUGUGCGUCCCGUCUGGCGCUGUCGUGACCCCAGCUUGUGCGUUGCUGCGUUUUGCUGUUCUCCGUGCUAGCACUGCACCACAUUCUUGUUUCGCAGUCUAUCUCCCUCCCCCAUCUGCGUGCCGGCAGCCGCUCAGUUGACUGCGCGUCUUCUCUCUCCCGCCGCCCUGCCCACAUCGUUCUUUCUCUCCCUCGCUACGUGUAGCGUUCGGCUGCAUCAGCAGCGGGGAAGUUGGAGUAAGGGGCACGGCAGCCCGCGCUCCGCAUCGGCCGUAGACCUCCCCUUCCUCCCUGACAAAGAAAGAGAAGAUGUGCACCGUUCAAUGAAGUGCAACAGACACUUGACGCGAAGCGCACCAGCCAACAGACAGAUAGUGCUGCAUCCAAAAUCAAGGUUCUUACGGAAAACAAAACGGAAUGCGAAGAGCUUGCAUGAAGAUAGCAGUGUGCAGUCCCUCCUCCUUUGCUGCUCCUGCUGCCCAGUGUUUGAACCUGUGGCGUACGCAGAGUGCGUUGGUAGUGUUGGUGCAGGCACCAAAGGGAGGUAAGGGGAGCGCUGCAGGCGAGACGAUGUACGGGGACGGGGGCACAUAGUUGAAUGGAGAGAACAGGAAGAAGCAAAAAAAGAAAGACGACGCGUAACAGGACGGUUAGUGUGGUAGGGGGCGGGCAAGGUGUGAUACGGAGGGUACCGGCGAUGGCGAGGGUGAUGGAGGGAAGUGGUGAUGGUUCGACGUCUCUCUAGGACCCUCGUGAAGUACCACGCCGCGCGUUUCUCCUCUGCAAUCUCUCUCACGCGCUUGGCCCUCCUCGCCUUUCCUUACUCCUUGUUCUCGCUCACCAGAGUGGAGGGUGUACGCAGAUUCAACACCCACCCGCUUCUUGUCCACUGGUUUCGCAUGAAACAAGGCGCGGCCUUUCGCACAAGGCUGUGUAUGUAUGUGUACCGAUGCAUUGCUGCUCGAUUCCGCCUCCACCACCCCUUAUACCCCAGGCCACACGCUUCCUCUUUCGCUUCCCCCUCUACUUUUUUUUUCCACCGUCUCUUCUACCGUUUCCACCCCGCAACCAUCAUCCGACACAAACCCAAUCACAACGUCGCCACACUCAUCUCUACUCUCCCCCUCCCCCCGCUCCUAG